CGGCGGACGGGUGAGUAACACGUGGAUAACCUACCUAUAAGGCUGGGAUAACUUCGGGAAACCGGAGCUAAUACCGGAUAAUAUAUUGAACCGCAUGGUUCAAUAGGGAAAGACGGUUUUGCUGUCACUUAUAGAUGGAUCCGCGCCGCAUUAGCUAGUUGGUAAGGUAACGGCUUACCAAGGCAACGAUGCGUAGCCGACCUGAGAGGGUGAUCGGCCACACUGGAACUGAGACACGGUCCAG
rnacentral:rRNA from 1 species